CACUUCCGGUGCGUUUUACAAUGAACUCCGGGCACUCGAGUCGCUCCCCGGAAACUAUAGUUCUGCUUCCACCGUUGUCCUACUUUGGAUAGCAUCAAGACAAAAAUCUCAGUCUUCGAGGAACUCACAGUGUAGCAGAAAAGACAAAGGAGGUAAACAGGAGGAGCUGAUAGCCAGCAAGAAAACAGGGACUUCAGUUCUGCAACUGCAACCAACAACCGGAGUGAGCUUGGAAGCAGAUUCUUUCCAGAGCAUCUAAAGCAGUGAUCCAUGUUUUCAUUGGACUGUGAAAGAGCUACUUCUACUCUAAGGCCACAUUGCCUACAUGAAAUAAAUUAUUGUUAGGAAAUUGCCUUGAAAAGAGAAACAAGACCACAACUCUUAGAAGAAUUCUGAACUUGAGAUUGACAUAGAUCAGAAAGCCCAGAUGCUGUUGAUCCAUCUCACCAGGCAGCAAGAGUAAGGAUAGAAUAUCUGCCCUCCAAUUUCACAGUUCACUAAGAAAAGACUUCUACACUCCCUGGGCAGAACAAUUCCAUCUACGCGGCAUAGGGUUGCUUCUGGAGGACCUGACCUAAGAUUGGCAUCUUACUCAGUCCAGAAGGUCAGGGAAGACUUCUUGGAAGACAUGCCAUCUAAAACAAUGACUGAUGGAGGAAUGGAAUCAUCCAAGUGUACGGGGAGUGGAUGGAAGACAAGAGCAUUCUAGGUAGGUGAACAGGACAAUUCAAAGGCUCCUCCUGGAGAAGCCACAGUUGGAUGCAGGUUAUCUCUUUAGAAUCCACCUUAAUUUUCCAUUUCAGCAAGUUUUAUGGUGAGCUCACAUUUUCUUUAACCUUUAUGUCCGUGAUAUAAAAUUCCUGUUUUCUUAUAAUCAGCAUUUAUCAGGAGUCUUUUUUUAAAAAACAGAAAACAAAACGUAUUUUUUCCUCAUUUACUAAUAGAUUCACUGCCUAUAACAGUGUGAAUAAUGUGUUGGCCAAAGGAGAAUGAGAUAGCCCAUUAUACUUAUUGAUAUAAAUUAUCCUUGAUGAAGAAAGUCCAUGUUCAUCAAUGCUGAUAUGACUGUGUCAUCAAUUUAAUAGCUGAAUGCUAAGGACCAUUAAAUUUAUCACUAUUUGCUAUACCCUUAUUUAUAAUAGUGCCCAAGAGUAAUAUGUAAUUAACUUCAUGACUGAUUGACAAAGUAAACUACAGGGUAAUCAAUCAUAUUGUAUAAAUGCUUGUCAUUGGGCCACAUGUGGAAUAUGGAGGUUGACUUGUGAUGUUUCAGCACUUCCCUGUCUUGAUUGUUGCUCUUGGCUGUUUAGAUCUAAAGUCCCUAUAAGUGUUGGACUUACUUAUUUAAAUAAGCUGGUUGCUACACCUUGAGAUUCAGUCCAAUCUUGCUGUCUAGCAUGAUCCUUAACCGAUGUCCUUUGUGUGGGCAUAUGGAGGACCUCUCCUUUCCUCUUGAUCUAGAAUGUCUUUUUUUUUUUUAGGUCUUCCCCAUUCAUAAUUGUUUUCCUUUGCAUACCAGCCCCUGCUUUCACUUAGACUUUCUUCUGACAUUUGUAUUUAAAACUAGCAAUUUGCACUCUCCUGCAAUAGUUUCCCCUUACUGAAGUCAUUUUGUAACUCUUCCUCCUCUCUCAGCUUGCCAGAAAUGAGAAAUGCCUAUAAACUUCACCAUGAGCAAGGAUAAGUGAGCCCAAGUCACGACAAAUAAGCCCAAGUCACGGUAAAUGAGCCCAAGUCAGGUUUUCUCUCCAAGUAUGGACUGUUUUGCAAAGCUUACAGUAACCCAGAAGGGUCAGCUUCUUUGCCUGUGAUAGCUAUUUGUAACUUUAGAAACUCCAGGUUUUGUGUGACCAAAAGGAAGACUAAGAUAACUGUCAUAAUUCAUUCCAGGAAUAAAAAUGGGCUGGGUGCAGUGGCUCAUGCCUAUAAUCUCAGCACUUUGG
rnacentral:lncRNA from 1 species